rnacentral:rRNA from 1 species
GUCUAAGUAUAAGCAUUUAUACUGUGAAACUGCGGAAAGCUCAUUAUAUCAGUUAUAGUUUAUUUGAUGGUAAACCCACUACAUGGAUAACCGUAGUAAUUCUAGAGCUAAUACAUGCCCAGAAACGGUGACUUCGGAAGCCGUGGACUUAUUAGAUCAAGAGCCAACCCUCUUCGGAGGAAUAAGCUGAAUCAUAGUAAUUUUGCUAAUCGCAUGGUCUUGUACCGGCGAUGGGUCAUUCAAAUUUCUGCCCUAUCAGCUGUGAUGUUAGUGUAGUGGACUAACAUGGCAUAAACGGGUGACGGAGGAUUAGGGUCUGAUUCCGGAGAGGGAGCCUGAGAAAUGGCUACCACUUCCAAGGAAGGCAGCAGGCGCGUAAAUUACCCAAUCCCGACACGGGGAGGUAGUGACGAGAAAUAACAAUACCGGAUCUUUUUAGAUCUGGUAAUUGGAAUGAGUACAACUUAAAAUCCUUAACAAGGAACAAUUGGAGGGCAAGUCUGGUGCCAGCAGCCGCGGUAAUACCAGCUCCAAUAGCGUAUAUUAAAGUUGUUGCAGUUAAAAGGCUCGUAGUCGAACUUUUGGUCCUUCAGAUUUGUCCCGUUCUCUUGUAGAACGAUGUGACGAUUCUAAGGACCUUCCUGGUAGAAAGUGUUUCUGCCCUUUAUUGGGUUGGUUGCACGAUCUGCCUCUUUUACUGUGAGAAAAACAAAGUGCUCAAAGCAGGCUUUACAGCUUGAAUGCGUUAGCAUGGAAUAAUAAGAUAGGACUUUGCUUCUAUUUUGUUGGCUCUGAGAAAC